UACGGAGGGUGCGAGCGUUAAUCGGAAUCACUGGGCGUAAAGCGCACGUAGGCCGUUUUGUAAGUCGCAUGUGAAAGCCCUCGGCUCAACCGGGGAACUGCGUGCGAUACUGCUAGACUAGAGUCCUGGAGAGGGUGGCGGAAUUCCCGGUGUAGGAGUGAAAUCCGUAGAUAUCGGGAGGAACACCAGUGGCGAAGGCGGCCACCUGGACAGGUACUGACGCUGAGGUGCGAAAGUGUGGGGAGCAAACAGG
rnacentral:rRNA from 1 species